AUGCAAAGCCAUAAGCUUGGGGAUGCUAUAUUUGAUGAAGAUGAUAUUUUUAGUCCCCCAAGUUUUGAUUGGAAAAUUUAUUAUGAUGAAAGCAUGCCUCCUAUCUAUGAUGAUUAUGGUGAUGACAUGUAUGCUAUAAAGAACAAUGAUAACCAUGAAACUUGUCAUCAUGAUUUUAAUUUCCAAUCACAUGAUAGCUAUUUUGUUGAGUUUGCUCCCACUACUAUUCAUGAGAAUAAAUUUGCAUAUGUGGAGAGUAAGAAAAAUUCUAUCGUUGUGGAUCAUCAAAAGAAUGCUUUAUGUGAUAGUUAUAUUGUUGAAUUCAUUCAUGAUGCCACUGAAAAUUAUUAUGAGGGAGGAACAUAUCCAAGUAGGAAUUGCAAUAGUAUCAAGUUUCAUCUCUAUGUGUUGAAACUUUUGAAGUUAUGCUUGUUUUGCCUUCCUAUGCUAGUUUAUUCUUGUUCACAUAAGUUGCUUGAUCACAAAAUACCUAUGCAUAGGAAGUGGGUUAGGCUUAAAUGUGCUAGUCAUAUGCUUCAUGUGAUGCUCUCUUUGUGUUUCAAUUCUUUUCUUUCAUGUGAGCAUCAUCGAAAUUAUCAAUGCCUAGCUAGGGGCGUUAAACGAUAG
rnacentral:rRNA from 1 species